rnacentral:rRNA from 1 species
UACGUAGGUGGCAAGCGUUGUCCGGAUUUACUGGGCGUAAAGAGCGCGCAGGCGGUCGUACAAGUCGCGUGUGAAAGCCCCCGGCUCAACUGGGGAGGGUCACGCGAUACUGUUCGACUCGAAGGCAGGAGAGGGAAGCAGAAUUCCCGGUGUAGUGGUGAAAUGCGUAGAUAUCAGGAGGAACACCGGUGGCGAAGGCGGGUCUCUGGGCCGAUACUGACGCUGAGGAGCGAAAGCGUGGGGAGCGAACAGG